AAACUAAGAAAAAAUAUAGAAAAAUAAUUUAAAGCUAUUGUUUUGGAUUUUUUAGGAGUAAUUUUAUAUUAGGGCAAAAAUUAGGUGCUCAUAGCUGCCCCUCUUUGCUCGAGAACAUGAAGAGUUUUCGGGCAAUGAUAAAGUAAGCAAUUAUGAGCAAUUUUUGCCCAUUUGACACUCCAUGGGAAGCAUUUUGAAAAUGUUUGACCGAACCGUGUUUCAGAGGUUGCCUACAUAUCCUUGGCUAUAAAGGAAUCAGGUCAGUGUAGUUCUGGAAGUUUAGGUAGCUGGGACUACCGAGAAGCUGUGAUUUCACUGUUGUUGCUGUUGUUACUGCUUGCUGAGCUCCUUAUUACACCAAAGUCAAAAUGAAAAAGACUAACUAAGCCUAUCAGCUACGAGUUACAAGAUUCCUAUCUAUGAGUCUUUUGAAGCUUGAUCUUGAGUUUUGGCUGGUUCUUCAUGCAGACUCUGAUCUGAACCUCGAUGCUUGCUAGCUGCAGGUGGUAGUUCAUUCUUCUUCGGCUUUUCGGAUCAAGAUGGGACAUGCAAAGCUUGCGACUUCAAUCAUAUCUUGAGCAGCCCAUAUCUUUUCAUCUUUUUCUGCAUUUUGGAUUCACUUCUUCUUCUUUUUUUUUCUUUUUUUUUUAAAUUCUGGAUUGAGACUUCUUCCUUUGGUCAUCCCGUACUGUCAACUCGCAUUCUUGAGGAGAGCUUCUGCUACUUCUAACUUGAAUUGAAUUCUUAAAUGACUUCUCUCGUUCUCCAGGUGGGCGCCUGAUGACUUAAAACUCGAAAUAAAUUACUUCAUUCUCCAGGUGGGCACCUGCUGACUUAAAAACUUGAAAUAAAUUCCUUCAUUCUCCAGGUGGGCGCCUGUGCUGACUUAAAACAGAAAUGAAUUCCCUCAUUCUCCAGGUGGGCGCUUGAUGUUGACUUGAAACUUGAAAUGGAUUCCCUUGUUUUCCAGGUGGGCGCUUGUUGCUAACUUAAAACUUGAAAUGAAUUCCCUCGUUCUCCAGGUGGGCGCCUGAUGCUAACUUAAAACUUGAAAUGAAUUCCCUCGUUCUCCAGGUGGGUUCUCUAGGUGGGCGCCUGAUGCUAACUUAAAACUUGAAAUAAAUUCCCUCGUUCUCCAGGUGGGCGCCUGCUGACUUAAAACUGAAAUUAAUUCCCUCGUUCUCCAGGUGGGCGACUGAUGAGUUAAAACUUGAAAUUAAUUCCCUCGUUCUCCAGGUGGGCGCCUGCUACUACAAAAAAAAUAGACAAAACAAAAAAAACCUUUCUACCCCAGUUUACACUAGGAAGAUUUGUGAGUUAUUAGCAGAACUAUAAAUUACCUAUGCUAUUGAUAAAAGAUGCAAUGAUGAGAGUAAAAUUAAAGACUCGACUAGGAUGUGCGUCUCCUAAAGAAAUAAAAAUGUGAAAAACCCAAACUAGGAAGUGCGUCUCCUAAAUUUGAGAUUGAGCUUGCGAAAAACUAUAAACUAAGCUUGACUAAACUAAAAACUGACCCUAUUCUCCAGGCGGGACCCCUGAUUUCAAGAAAACUAAAUAUUGAUAACUUAAGAAAACUAAAAAUUGACCUUUGUUUUUUUUUUUUUCAGACUUCCCUUUUUUAAAACUUAUUAUCCUAGGGAGAAAAUUCAUCAGACUAGGUCUUUUUUUUUUUGGUAUCUUAGGAGAAAGAUUCAUGAGACUAAGAUUUCUAUCCUAGGAGAAAGAUUCAUCAGACUAGGUUUUCUAUCUUAGGAGAAAGAUUCAUCAGACUAAGACGUUUAUCCUAGGAAAAAAUUCAUCAGACUAGGUUUUCUAUCUUAGGAGAAUGAUU
rnacentral:lncRNA from 1 species